CGUUCUCAGUUCGGAUCGGAGUCUGCAACCCGACUCCGUGAAGCUGGAUUCGCUAGUAAUCGCGCAUCAGCCAUGGCGCGGUGAAUACGUUCCCGGGCCUUGUACACACCGCCCGUCAAGCCAUGGGAGCCGGGGGCGCCUGAAGUCCGGGACCGCGAGGACCGGCCUAGGGCGAAACUGGUAACUGGGGCUAAGUCGUAACAAGGUAGC
rnacentral:rRNA from 1 species